CAAUAAAGAGAAGUGUGGCGUGAAAAAAAUCAAAGAAAGUUUUUCUUUUCUCUAUUCUUCUUACUUUCUCCUGUACCGAUUUCCGUUGUUGAUCAAUCAAGAAAUUUCAAGUAUUUGUCUUGCUUGUUAAUCACUAAGAAAUGAGUUUCUAAAGGGUGGUGGUGUUCUAUUUUCGUGAUCUUAAAGAGAAGAAAAGUUCAUCUCAAUUCAAGAGCAUAGGGUGCAAGAUUGUCAAGAACACCUUUCUUCAAUCUUGAUCGUUUUCAAGAGCGAUUCAAGAAGUUGUUUUGGAUCUUUCUUUUUUUGUUCCAACACAUUCUUGCUAGAGAAGUGUUUGGGGCUUCCAUCUAUUCCAAAUGAUCGUCCUUGAUCGGUUUUGGAAGUUUCAAGAUUUGACAUGCGUGUGUGGACUAAUUAGAGGCCGGAAGCGUGAACGGCUUGUGGUGAAUCGAAGAUCUUGAUUGUUGAACAUUCGUGGCAGCAAGGAGCUCAAUCUAAAUUUUGGAAAAUCCGGUUCGUUGAGUUCAUGAGCAAGGAACACAAGGGUGAAUGUGGGUGCUCUAGGAGGUUGUGAUAUGGUCCAUCUUUAUGGCUUGCAAGCUUCAUGCUCGAAAUUGUGGAAACAUGGCUAACAAUCACCAUUCUAUUGAUACUCCUACACAAUAGUACAUGGAAAAUGUUCUCUUCUUCAGAGUACAGGAUGAACGUGACCUUGGCUUCUUAGUGUCGUGUAGUAGCUAGAAACGUGUUUGAGAAAAUUCAGGAACGUAGGACUGACAAAUUCCAAAUUCUCCUAGACUUUCUUUGAGAUAAUCCUGCUAAAAUUUCGGUCAUAUCUCAAGAAACUGAAUUGGAAGAGGAUAAAUAGUUAAGACAAUAAUUUCCUCA